GUAACUGCGAGUGAAGAGGGAAGAGCUCAUCAUUGGAAUCUGGCAGUGUUGCGCUGUCCGAGUUGUAGAUGAGGAGUAGUCCAUCUGGGCUGCAUGGCGUCCAAGUACAAUAGGCCGUCAGUGGGACAUCAUAGAGGGUGACAAUCCCGUCCUUGAUGCCAAUGUGCAAGUCCGCUACGAUGGCUAUCUCAGAGAGUCGAGCAGUUUGGGAUUUGCUGCUUAAACAUGGGAGGUAGAUUCCUUCUAAAGCUAAAUACAGGCGAGAGACCGAUAGAGAACAAGUACCGCAAGGGAAAGAUGAAAUAGAACUCUGUGAAGGGAGUCAAAAGGCGUGAAAUUGUUGCGAGAGAAGCGAUUCAAGUCAGCGUAGCUAGGCCCAUCAAGCACUCUUUGCUUUGGACUAGCUUUGCCAGCGGUCUUGUCCCCCUUAGAAGAGACUUGACUUUGUAUGUCCAGCCUGGUAUGCACAGGUAGCCCCCUGGGGCCAGUGACAUGGCUGGUGGAAUGGCUUGCAAUCGACCCGUCUUGAAACACGGACCAAGGAGUCUAACAUGUAUGCGAGUAUAAGGGUGGCAAACCCGUAUGCGCAAUGAAAGUGACUUUCGGUGAUUGAGAAUGGCCUGAUGACCAGACAAGCGAUAUCAUGUCCCUCGUACGGCCAUUGCCCAAGUUCCGUGGUAGAUCCCACGAACAUGGAGUUGGAGCAUACAUGCUAGGACCCGAAAGAUGGUGAACUAUGCCUGGACAAAGCGAAGCCAAAGGAAACUCUGGUGGAGGCUUGUAGCGAUUCUGACGUGCAAAUCGAUCGUCUGAUCUGGGUAUAGGG
rnacentral:rRNA from 1 species